rnacentral:rRNA from 1 species
UGAGGAAUAUUGGUCAAUGGGCGAGAGCCUGAACCAGCCAAGUAGCGUGAAGGAUGACUGCCCCUAUGGGUUGUAAACUUCUUUUAUUAAAGGAAAGUAAAAGUACGGGUAUGGAUACCCGUUUGCAUUGU